rnacentral:rRNA from 1 species
CAUGCAGUCGAGCGGACAGAAGGGAGCUUGCUCCCGGAUGUUAGCGGCGGACGGGUGAGUAACACGUGGGUAACCUGCCUGUAAGACUGGGAUAACUCCGGGAAACCGGAGCUAAUACCGGAUAGUUCCUUGAACCGCAUGGUUCAAGGAUGAAAGACGGUUUCGGCUGUCACUUACAGAUGGACCCGCGGCGCAUUAGCUAGUUGGUGAGGUAACGGCUCACCAAGGCGACGAUGCGUAGCCGACCUGAGAGGGUGAUCGGCCACACUGGGACUGAGACACGGCCCAGACUCCUACGGGAGGCAGCAGUAGGGAAUCUUCCGCAAUGGACGAAAGUCUGACGGAGCAACGCCGCGUGAGUGAUGAAGGUUUUCGGAUCGUAAAGCUCUGUUGUUAGGGAAGAACAAGUGCAAGAGUAACUGCUUGCACCUUGACGGUACCUAACCAGAAAGCCACGGCUAACUACGUGCCAGCAGCCGCGGUAAUACGUAGGUGGCAAGCGUUGUCCGGAAUUAUUGGGCGUAAAGGGCUCGCAGGCGGUUUCUUAAGUCUGAUGUGAAAGCCCCCGGCUCAACCGGGGAGGGUCAUUGGAAACUGGGAAACUUGAGUGCAGAAGAGGAGAGUGGAAUUCCACGUGUAGCGGUGAAAUGCGUAGAGAUGUGGAGGAACACCAGUGGCGAAGGCGACUCUCUGGUCUGUAACUGACGCUGAGGAGCGAAAGCGUGGGGAG